rnacentral:sRNA from 1 species
CUUGCUGUGGGCAAAUAAAAUGAAUGUGAGCAUCAAUUGCACCGGCUGUUAGGAUUUGACCUUCGCCAGCAAUAACUUCAGUACCUGGGCCAACUUCAAUAGUGACUCCGGCUUGUGUAUCUGGAUUACCGGCUUUACCAAUGGCUUGAAUGUAGCCACCGUUUAAUGCAACGUCGGCUUUAAUGAUGCCUGUAGCAUCUAAAAUAAGUGCGUUGGUAAUAACUGUGUCUGGCACUUUAUCUGAGGUUGCUUGGCUCUGUCCCAUGCCAUCAC